rnacentral:tRNA from 1 species
AGGCGAUUAGCUCAGUUGGUUUAGAGCAUCUGUUUUACAAGCAGAAGGUCACUGGUUCGAAUCCAGUAUCGCCUA